GGCUCAGGACGAACGCUGGCGGCGCGCCUCAUACAUGCAAGUCGAGCGAGAACCAGGGCUUGCCCUGGGGAGAGCGGCGAACGGGUGCGUAUCACGUGAGCAACCUGCCCCGAAGACCGGGAUAACUCGAGGAAACUCGGGCUAAUACCGGAUGUCCUCGGUGGACCGCAUGGUCCGGCGAGGAAAUGGAUUCCGCUUCGGGAUGGGCUCGCGGCCUAUCAGCUUGUUGGUGGGGUAACGGCCUACCAAGGCGACGACGGGUAGCUGGUCUGAGAGGACGAUCAGCCACACUGGGACUGAGACACGGCCCAGACUCCUACGGGAGGCAGCAGUAGGGAAUCUUGCGCAAUGGGCGAAAGCCUGACGCAGCGACGCCGCGUGCGGGAUGAAGGCCUUCGGGUCGUAAACCGCUUUCAGCAGGGACGAAAUUGACGGUACCUGCAGAAGAAGGCCCGGCCAACUACGCGCCAGCAGCCGCGGUGAUACGUAGGGGUCUAGCGUUGUCCGGAAUCAUUGGGCGUAAAGAGCUCGUAGGCGGUUCGGCAAGUCGGAUGUGAAAUCUCCACGCUCAACGUGGAGGGGCCAUUCGAAACUGCCGUGACUCGAGUCCGGUAGGGGAGUGCGGAAUUCCCGGUGUAGCGGUGAAAUGCGCAGAUAUCGGGAGGAACACCAGUGGCGAAGGCGGCACUCUGGGCCGGAACUGACGCUGAGGAGCGAAAGCGUGGGGAGCGAACAGGAUUAGAUACCCUGGUAGUCCACGCCGUAAACGUUGGGCACUAGGUGUGGGACUCUAUCGACGGGUUCCGUGCCGUAGCUAACGCAUUAAGUGCCCCGCCUGGGGAGUACGGCCGCAAGGCUAAAACUCAAAG
rnacentral:rRNA from 1 species